rnacentral:rRNA from 1 species
CACGUAGGGCGCAAGCGUUGUCCGGAAUUAUUGGGCGUAAAGAGCUCGUAGGCGGUCUGUUGCGUCCGCUGUGAAAACUCGGGGCUUAACCCCGAGCCUGCAGUGGAUACGGGCAGACUAGAGGUAGGUAGGGGAGAAUGGAAUUCCCGGUGUAGCGGUGAGAUGCGCAGAUAUCGGGAGGAACACCGGUGGCGAAGGCGGCUCACUGGUCCAUUACUGACGCUGAGGUGCGAAAGCGUGGGGAGCAAACAGG